rnacentral:rRNA from 1 species
AGAACCUUACCAGGUCUUGACAUCUUCUGCCAGGCUGAGAGAUCAGCUGUUCCCUUCGGGGACAGAAUGACAGGUGGUGCAUGGUUGUCGUCAGCUCGUGUCGUGAGAUGUUGGGUUAAGUCCCGCAACGAGCGCAACCCUUAUGAUCAGUUGCCAGCAUUCAGUUGGGCACUCUGGUCAGACUGCCGGUGACAAACCGGAGGAAGGCGGGGAUGACGUCAAAUCAUCAUGCCCCCUAUGACCUGGGCUACACACGUGCUACAAUGGGUGGUACAACGAGCAGCGAGACCGCGAGGUCAAGCGAAUCUCUAAAAACCAUCCUCAGUUCGGAUUGCAGGCUGCAACUCGCCUGCAUGAAGCUGGAAUCGCUAGUAAUUGCGGAUCAGCACGCCGCGGUGAAUACGUUCCCGGGUCUUGUACACACCGCCU